CGGAAUCACAUCAUCUCAUUGGUCCAUGUGUCUCACCAGAAAAAAUACUAGUCCCCGGUAUCCGAGAUUUCUCUGUUCAUAUUGGCCUCAAUUACUGGAAGAUGUUUAGUUGCUCCAGUACAUUUCAGUCUGGCUGCAGAUUGAGGUCCUCACGAAGGUGAAGAAGUCGAUGUUGGUCUUCUGGAUUGUGACACCGCGUGGACAUAUACAGGUAGAUGCACACGCUUCGAAGAAACAUUCUGCCUCCGUCUUCAGCCCUGAAGGAGGCAGCACAUUCCUCCGAAACGCUGCUACCGGCCUACAAGUCCAUACGGCGUUACAGCGACCAUGGAAGAGACAAGGUCAUAUUUGUAACAAAAAAUUGAAGCGGAAAUGGCGGCUGAGUCGAGUUCCUGUUCUUUGUGAGUGACCAAUCAGCGCAAAGGAGGUCUGCUGAUAAGCAACUAGACCUCAGUCUGUUAAGUAACCCCGUGGUAGAAGCAUCGGCAGUUCUUAGGUGUACUUUGAGUAGUGUUAUAACAAUUCACUGGAAACCAAUGCUACAUCUUGCACCACUGUAUGUUAUUUCCUUACCUUCUCGCCCCUCCGCCCCACUCUUUUACUUCCUACAAAGGCACAGUACAUGUCCAGCCGCCAAUUCGGCUGAAAACAAUAAAAGUCACAGAGAAGCUAACAGAAAACAGAGCAAUAUAAUAUAAAGCCAACAUCUACCAAGAAAAACAGCAUAAACACACAUUCCAAAGCUCAAGUUCAAAAUACGAUAAAAGUUAAUUUUUUCUGAUACAGUUUUAAAAUGCUAAUUAUAUCAUCAGCAAGAAAAUAUGUCACUUGACAAAGGAAAAUAUCUAUGCCAUUAGGCCACUGAAAUUGGGGCAUUAUAAAACACGGAGUUUCCUCAAGGUUCAAUAUUGGUCCCCGGCUUUUCCUCAUGUGCCUACCAUUAACUCUCAGUCUAAACCCAUACUUCUCGUGGAUGAUACUAAUAUUAUUAUUUCACAUCCAGAAAUUAGUCUUUGUUAGCUUGAACAAAUUGAUUGAAGCCAAUAAACUUACAUUAUAUUUUGACAAAAAAUGUCAUAAAAUUUUGUACUACCAACAAAAAUGGUGUUAAUCUAGGUAUAAGAUAUAGGAUAAAACAACUGAAGAAGUAGAAACAACAAAAAUUCUUGACCUACAAACAGACAAUAACUUAAAUUUGAAAACACAGAUUCAAUAAACUAAACUAAGCUCAACGUUCUUCGCUAUGAGGACUGUCACGUCUCUCACGAAAACAGAAACUUUAAAAUUAGUCUACUUUGCUUAUUACCAUUUGAUCAUGUCAUAUGGAAUUAUUUUCUAGGGAAACUCAUCAAAGACAGCAAAAAAGUAUUUUAAAUUUUAAAGAAAAUCGUUAGAAUAGCAUGCACUAAAAGGAGAGCCUUAAGUGGUGAAUUGUUUAAGGAAUUUAAUAUUCUUCUACAAGCCAGCAAAAUCUUGCUAUCAUUAUUAUCAUUUAUAGUGGACAACACAGAAAAUUCUGAAAACUCAGAUAUCCACAAUAUAAGUAAAGAUACAGAUAUGGCCUUCAUGUGUCAACAACUAACCUCAGUAAAUAUAAAAAAUGAAUUAACUAUGCUGGAAUUAAGCUAUUCAUUUAAAUUACCCCCACUGCACAGUCUGAAACAAGAUAUAAAGAAGUUUAAACCAGCACUGAAAGAGUAUCUCCUGUCUCGCUCCUUCUAAUCCACAGAUGAAUUUACCUUAAUCAAAAAUUCUUAGCGAUUAUAAAUACAUGUAUGCAAUAGGGGUUAUGUUUUCUUGUGUAAUUAUUUUUAUAGUAAUACUGUAGCUGGCUGUAAAUUACUGUCAUAACUAUGUAAUUUAUAUUAGAAACAAGUACUGUAUUUGUACUAUGACAUGUUCUACUUCUUUGACUUUGGCCUAUGAAGGAUCUGUAGAAAGUAAAUAAAUUCUGUUGUUCUAUUCUAUGUACAUCUAUAUCCUUGGCUUAGGCCUAUGAAGGAUCUAUGGACUGUAAAUAAAUUCUAUUCCAAUCUAGUGAGUUUACACACUAAAGUGGAAUGUCAUUUGAACUAAA